ACGCUCGACACCUACGGGAGACAGCAGUGGGGAAUAUUGCACAAUGGAGGAAACUCUGAUGCAGCGACGCCGCGUGAGCGAAGAAGUAUUUCGGUAUGUAAAGCUCUAUCAGCAGGGAAGAAAAAGGACGGUACCUGACUAAGAAGCUCCGGCUAAAUACGUGCCAGCAGCCGCGGUAAUCUGAGCGGGCGUGGCAAGGC
rnacentral:rRNA from 1 species